UUUAGCAGACUAGCAGUAAUAGCUUUUCCUUAGGGCCAAUGACUUAUCUAGUCACACUAUUUUGAUUAAACAGUGAUGCCAAAUAUGGGUUUCAACUUGUGGAGAGGACUGUAAAUCUCAUUAGAAACUGGUUGGUUACUUUCAUGACCUAUAUGUCACUAUUACACCAGUGGGCAUGUAUUGCAAGGUUGGUCAUUAUUGUAACUCACAGGGUUCACAUCUGGGUAACACUGAUUAUUACCAGCGUUAUUCUCCUUGGUAGCAUGGAGGGACAGAGCACGUUCCAGUACUGUGACAGCCAGCCAGGAGGAAUGAAGUUUCCAUCUUGUAAGAGCCCAUUCGUCUAUCCUGGAUCUCCAGUUCUUGUCCUGGCUGGACCCGCUCUCCUGAUGUACCCACGCGAGGCCUUGCCAGCAGCAUUGGAGCAUACAUUCAGUAUGGUGUCCUAGGCACACACAGCUGCUGAAUCAGGAGACACAUCAACAUGGAGAUGGCCUCACUGAUAUAGCAGGGGCAGAGUGUAUUCUCCAUUCUUCAGGGAGUUAGACUUUGCAAGGCCUCGGUGCCACGAAGAGCAUCCUUCUCGGUGACAUCACAGGGACAAAUUUGCCUCUUCUGAAGUGAGGUCUUGAGAGCGUCCUACACCUCGGCUGGCUGCUCCUCAUCUAUGGCAAGAUCAUCCCCUUCCUGUCUUCUCAUGAUCAUCUCCAUCAAUGAUUCCCUAGUGUAGAGGAAUGCCAGUGUGGGGGAGGUGGGAGUGGGUGAGUGAGAGGGGGAGCAUCCUCAUAGAAGCAGGGGGAGGGGGGAAGGGGGUUCUGGAGGGGAAACCAGGAAAGGGAAUGACAUUUGAAAUGUAAAUACAUAAAAUAAUUAAUAAAAACGGAAAAAAUAAAAUAAAAUAUUAAAAAAAUCAGUUGUUUGUUUCUUAAAGACAAGAAAGGAGAAGAGGGACAUUGGAACUAGUUGGGAAGAGUAAGGAGACAGUGAAAGUAGGAAAAGGAAAUGAGAGUGAGUAGCCAGUUGUAUAUGACCUAAUAUAUUAUAUAUAAUAUACAUUAUAUAUAAUUAUGUGUAAGUAUAAUAUUUUAUAUACAUAUAUAACAAUCCAUACAUAUAUAAAAUAUAAUUAUAUAUAAUAUGCUCAAUAUGCAUAGUUAUAUAAUAUAUAAUUUAAUAUAUACUAUAUAGUAUAUAUAAUGUAUUAGGUCACAUAUGUAUAUAAUAUAUGAAAAUGUCAUAAUGAAACUAAUCAGAUAAUUAGUAUGUAAAAAUAAAAGCUAGAAAAAAAUCAUGUUUUUAUGAAGAAAA